UUAAUUUGCACGUGGCACAACUUGACAUUAGUGCUCAUCUGCAGUCUUGCUGCCCUAAUGCCAUCCUUGGAGACCGAACAUACGGACGUACGAAAGAAGGCGGGAGUUGAUUUUAAUGUUUCUGACCCUAAAGGCCGAACUCCCUUACAACAUGUGGCAGUGUGCUCCAAUCAGAUGAGAGACUACCAGACAAGAUUCACAGACUGAAG